ACUGCCUACGAGAACUCUUGAACGUGUUGCCCUUUAAAAAAAAAAUAAAGGUAGAUGUUGCCAGUUUGUGCAUCAAGACCGGUGCCAAGAACAUGCCCACAGUGUUUUUGCUGACAGAUGCCCAAGUUCCAGAUGAACGCUUUCUUGUGCUGAUUAAUGACUUGUUGGCAUCAGGUAUUUGUAGGGGAAGCCUUUAGAGAAGCUAAAUCAACCCAGCCAGCUUGAGCACAGAGUCUAACUUGCUUAACAAAACACAGAGGAGACAAAUUGCUAAGGCUUAUCAUGCGAGAUGUUCCUGAUAUGUUCACUGAUGAAGAUGUGGAGGGCAAAGUUGCAGGAGUCAGAAGAGUCAGAAAAGAAGUCCCUGAUCUGGGCUUGAUGAACACCACUUUCUAGCUGAUGGAGGUUCUUCUUUGGUUGAAUGCAGUAGUUGUUAAAGGUAGAAGAUCUAAACUUCAAACUUGCUUCACAAGAGGCAGAACUGCAACUGAAAAAUCAAGAUGCUGAAGCUUUGAUCGCUAAGAUAGGAUUUCAGACUGAGAAAGUGAGCCAAGAAAAGGCCAUUGUCAAAGCAGAGGAGCAAAAGUUUGUGUGCUUUGAAUGCUUCCAGCCAGAGAGAUUCACAGAGGAAGAUGCAUGUACCAUUGCCUUUUAAGAUGGGAACACUCCCAGAAGAAGAAAUAAAACAGAGCAGGUUGCAGGUUAAUCUUACAGAACUGAAAGCCUUCGCCAACACACCAGUGACUGCAACCAAUGGUGUACGAUGGAGUCGAGAUGUUGUGCAUCGUUCCAGGAGAAUACUAAAUUAGGAACAGCUAAAGAGAAUCUACACGCAAUCAAGAAGAAGCUUACCGUAAGCAAUACUUUAUUUAUAAGCAUACUUCUCUAAUGUCUUGAGCCCAUUCAAUUUAACUACUUUAUUUAUUUAUUUUGUUUUUAUUUUAAUUGAUUUUAUUACUUCCUAGCUAAAGUAUUAAGGAUAUAUUUACAUUGAGCAUUGUCAUUAUUUUUUCCUACUGCACAACAUUCAGUGGUUUUGGUGAGAGUACAUGAAGCUAUUCCUAAGAAAUGGCUGAAUAUCCUGAAAGUCAUCUGGAUGUGUUACCCAAAUAGAUUAGUAAACCAAAAUGAGAGUUGGUACAAAUAAUUGGUUAUGAUUUUUACUACAUAUAUAUGCUGAGUGUUUAUAGGUAAGCUAUUGGACUAUCGGAAUAACUACUGCAAAGGACUGUGGCACCUCCAGCUCAUCUGUGCUCAUGCUUGUCAUUAAAGUAUCACCAGAUCUCCUCUGAUUUUUUUGAAAGGCCUCCAAACACAUACACAUGUGCACGUGCAUUACAAGUGGAAAAUUUGACUAUGCACUUUUACUGACAAAAAUCUUUUUUAUUAAAGACUGAACAGAAGAUUAUGUUUACCAGCAAGUACCCAUC
ensembl:lncRNA